rnacentral:rRNA from 1 species
CCUACGGGAGGCAGCAGUGGGGAAUAUUGGACAAUGGGGGCAACCCUGAUCCAGCCAUGCCGCGUGUGUGAAGAAGGCCCUCGGGUUGUAAAGCACUUUCAGUGAGGAAGAACGCCUGGUGGUUAAUACCCAUCAGGAAAGACAUCACUCACAGAAGAAGCACCGGCUAACUCCGUGCCAGCAGCCGCGGUAAUACGGAGGGUGCGAGCGUUAAUCGGAAUUACUGGGCGUAAAGCGCGCGUAGGUGGCUUGAUAAGCCGGUUGUGAAAGCCCCGGGCUCAACCUGGGAACGGCAUCCGGAACUGUCAAGCUAGAGUGCAGGAGAGGAAGGUAGAAUUCCCGGUGUAGCGGUGAAAUGCGUAGAGAUCGGGAGGAAUACCAGUGGCGAAGGCGGCCUUCUGGACUGACACUGACACUGAGGUGCGAAAGCGUGGGUAGCAAACAGGAUUAGAUACCCCGGUAGUA